rnacentral:rRNA from 1 species
UGUGUAGGCGGAAUUUUAAGUCAGUGGUGAAAUCUCUCGGCUCAACCGGGAAACUGCCAUUGAUACUAUUAUUCUUGAGUAUAGUUGAGGUAGGCGGAAUGUGUCAUGUAGCGGUGAAAUGCUUAGAGAUGACACAGAACACCGAUUGCGUAGGCAGCUUACUAAACUAUUACUGACGCUGAUGCACGAAAGCGUGGGGAGCGAACAGGAUUAGAUACCCUGGUAGUCC